rnacentral:rRNA from 1 species
ACUUGGUGUUACUGCGAAGGGGGGACGGAGAAGGCUAUGUUAGCCGGGCGACGGUUGUCCCGGUUUAAGCAUGUAGGCUGGUUAUCCAGGCAAAUCCGGAUAACCAAGGCUGAGGUGUGAUGACGAGGCACUACGGUGCUGAAGUAACAAAUGCCCUGCUUCCAGGAAAAGCCUCUAAGCAUCAGGUAACAUCAAAUCGUACCCCAA